UCUGGUGGGUGGGAUUUUUUGAGAGGCGUUGCCGCACAUCGACUACGUACUAACGCUACUCCGGGAUUAUAUAUCGGCCGCUCGUCACACAUCUUCAUACAUUGCGCAUUUAGCCCCCGCGAACAGCGCACUGAUCGUCCGAGUUCAAGAUAUUCCAAGAAAUAAAGACGUAGCAUGGCUAACUACAUUCACGUACCCGACGAGGCUCCCGCUGUGCCCAAAAUAGACGUGACAGUUGACGAAAGCGACUACAGAUCUGGUGCAUUGAAGCUGAUCAAGGAGCUGAGACCGAACUGGAAGCCAUCCGAGGUCAAACUGAAGUUUUUCACAGACGGGAUCACCAAUAAGCUGCUGGGUUGCUACGUGGGUGCAGUCGUGCAGGAUGUGGUCCUGGUCCGUAUUUAUGGCAACAAAACCGAAUUGUUGGUUGACCGGGAAAAUGAAGUGAAAAGCUUUAGAGUACUACAUGAAAACCGCUGUGCCCCACACUUAUACUGCACCUUCAACAAUGGCCUCUGCUAUGAAUUUCUGCAAGGAACUGCCCUGGAGCCUGAGCACAUCCGCAGCCAACCUGUGUAUAGUCUCAUUGCCAGGCAGCUGGCCAAGUACCAUGCCAUCCAUGCCCACAAUGGCUGGGUGCCCCAGUCUGACCUGUGGUUGAAGAUGGGCAAGUACUUUGCGCUCAUCCCAAAGUACUUCAAGGACCCACAGCGGAACGCCAGGUUGAGUAUGGAGGUGCCGAGCCCACGGUGCCUCCGAGAAGAGCUGGUGUGGCUCCAGCAGAGCCUGUCUGUGCUGGGCUCCCCUGUUGUUCUCUGCCACAACGACCUUCUCUGCAAAAACAUAAUCUUUAAUGCGGAGGCAGGUGAGUAUUAACUGCACAAGUGUAGUCAUAGACAUUACUGUGUGACUGAAUUGUGUUGUAGUGUGUACCGCAUUGGUCUCUGCGCUCAGGUAGGAUGGCAUUAACUGCACUUUCUCAACCCUAGUCACAUGCUUCACUCAUUGCCAGAGUUUGCAUUGGGCUGCAGGCAAAGAAUUAGAACGGUCGGAAAAGACAAACCUGUUCUUUGGCUGCUCGGCUUCGGUGGAAUCCUCAUUUGAAAUAGGACAAAACACGACACAAAUAAAAGUUGUGUGUUGAUUGAAGCAGAUUGGAGGGUGGGGACAAGUUAUGUGUAUCUGCCUCCAGUCUAUUUUGUAACGUAUCUGCCACAGAAUAUAUUGAAUCUUCCAUUUUCUGAUAUGGAUUUCAUUCUUUUGUCCAAAAUGUUGUCCGAUCCGUCGUUCUAAUUCUGUGCUGAAAACGUAGAACGUAAACCACUGUUGUCAGCGUGAACAAACAAUGCCAUUACGUCAUACCACAUACCAAGUCUUAGUUCUAUUGACAGCACGUGUUUUUGGUGCUUUAGUAAUGUUAUUUUCAUGGUAUGAAGGUCAAGCAACCUGUGCUCAGCUUGCUUAUGCACUGAGCGACUUUGAUUAUUCUGGCCUGACACUGUACGAGUCAGUGAAACUGUUCUUAUCAUUGUCUUUGUAGCAGAGGAAUUUUUGGGUUAAAUUGGUCAGGACAAAUGAGAGACUGGGGUGGGGGUGUUAAAGAGCUGUCAGCCCCCUCGUCGGUUUGCGGCGAGGGGCGGGGGGCCCUUCUCACAGCUCCUUGUGUCUAGCCUUUCUCUCCUAGGAAUGACAGCCGAGGCUGUGGCUGCCCUGCUCCGCCCUGCCCUGGGGAGGCAAUGGAGAGAGACAAACCUCACGCAAAGUCGGCUUUGAGGGCCCUCGCGUAGUCUGCCCACUGCUCGGGUUAAUCGGGAUGAGUUCAUGGCAGCAGGGGGGCUAUAGCCACUGCCUGGAGGUGUUCAGUUGUGUCCCGCUAGGACCUACACGUCGGCUGGUAACCCACCUCAAAGCAAUGUAAAGUUCAUUGACUACGAGUAUGCUGGGUACAAUUACCAAGCCUACGACAUUGGGAACCAUUUCAAUGAGUUUGCCGGCCUGAAUGAGGUGGAUUAUAGUCACUACCCUCAGCGAGCCUUUCAGCUGCAGUGGCUCCGCUCCUACCUGGAGGCCUAUAAGGAGCUCAAAGGCCAAGGCAAUGAAGUAACAGACGGAGAGGUGGAGAUUCUUUACGUCCAAGUCAACCGAUUUGCCCUGGCAUCUCAUUUCUUCUGGGGUCUCUGGGCUCUGAUUCAGGCCAAGGUCUCCACCAUCGACUUUGACUUCUUGGGAUAUGCAGUCCUGCGCUUCAACCAGUACUUCAAGAUGAAACUGGAGGUGGCUGCGCUGAACUUACCCGAAUAACGUCCCCACUCCACAACCUCAUCUUCUCUUCUUUUUGCUCUUCCUCCCUUCCAAUCUUCUGAGCCUCACAUGAAGAAUGCAGAGUGCCCUGUAGGGGUCUAUGUAGGGAAGAGCCAGACUCCGAGUCUGUCCUGCUCAGGGCCUAAAGGUCCCCUCUACAUGUCCAUAUCUCUAUAGAUUAAAUGGACCACAAGCUUUUUCUUCCUCUGCUGUCACACCUUUUGUUAACCGGUAGCCCACGUCAUUUGCAAUGUGGGCUAGUGUGAAGCAGAGACUCGAGACCUGCUAUAAUGUGAAAACCACAUGGCUGGAAUUUUGGUUUUAGCCAUUUCAAUUAUUCUAAUAUCAAUUUGAUAUUAACAAGAUAUCAGCGUAUUGUUUUUGUCAGCUGCUUUUCUUGUAGUUUAACUCGCUAUGAAUAAGAUGAAGGAGGAAUGUCACCUUAUUCAUAACCAACGCAUAAUAACCGCCUACGAGACUGACGGGCGGCCCACACACUAAUCUGAUUGCCUGGGAAAAAAAACCUUGAGGGCCGGCCCAGCUAACGACCAAAUUUCUGAUGAUAUGAAAGAAAUACAGAGCCUGCUUUGUUUGCUGCAGAUGAAAGAAGAAAAGAAAUGCCGACAUGGAAAGGCCAGCGCUGUCCCGUAAUCCUAUGCGAGAUGAGCCAAAUCUCUCACACACAAAAACAAAACAAAAAAAAUCCCUGUGGUCUUCCUUGUGACCCUUGUUUUCACCCUUAUUUUCCUCUGCAUACUCUGCAUGGGGCGUGCCCAAGAAAACUGUGUCCUUACUGUUUCUGUGUAAUGAGGGCGUCAUUGUUUUGACUUUCUGGACUGAAAGGAGAAACAUCCAGUUUGAGGAGAGCAUCUCGUGUUUACGUCUAACCUCGCCCCCAAGUUAUGUAGUCACUACAUCAGUGAGCGGUCUUUUUGAGUUGGGGGAGAGUUUCACUCCAGUGUUUUUUGUUUUCUCACUUUUCGUCCGUCAAAAUCUAAACUGGGCACACUGUUCAUGAUGCUAGAUGGGUCAUUUGGUUGUAGUUCACAUGGUAAGUUGGCUUUGUGGGGGACUUUAUUCACGAUGACAUUGGCUGUAAGCCGUUCUGAGUGAGACCAAACCUGCGCCAGUGUCUGGGAACGUUUGAGAAUCACCUUUUUGAUAUUACAGAGCAGUACAGAUGUUUUUAUACACCUGUCCACCGGUUUCCCUUGGCGUGUGUGGGACUGGCCCUCGCCGAGCAGCUGGUGGCUUCCUUCACAUUCAGCGCCUGAUGUUCGUUGAGAAGUGGAUUUUUUUUUUUUUAAAAAGAAAGUGGACUAGGUCGGUUACGCACAUCUGUGUUAAGUUUUUAAAAACAAUGUAAUGAAUGUCAGCUGUUAGUGGGACCUGGGGAGCAAGAGCACCAUCUGUUGGAGGAAGAAAUAAUGGUAGCUGUCAGUAACUGUUGUUCAUGUUAAAUGUUAGUGUUUUUUAAAAUGCUCUUUAGGCGGACCUUUUAAAAACUGAAACGAGUUCAUCUCUUGGUUACUUUAACAGGCCUACACCAAAGUGCUGACAUCUGUUUUGUGCUUGUACAUAACGCACACUGUAUCAUUUUCCAUGUAGCACAAAGAGAAUUGAAGUUACAGUUAUAUAGACCUUUUUUUUUUUUAAUACUUUAUAUGAUGAAGGCCGAGGUCUUUGAGAGUGUGUUGAUGUUUGCUGUUGGAACAGCAGAAGACUCCUGGACAAAUGUACUGUAAUUGAUGAAAUUAAUAAGUAAAACGUGGCGAAACAAGUUUUCCUUAUUUACUCCCAACCGUGUUUAGCAAAUGGUGCAUGUUUGCCCAGGACUCUCUGCUGGGACCGGUCUGCAAAGCUCUGAAGAGGCCAUUACUGACGAGACCGUCAUGUUCUCAAGAGUGCCGUGUGCCUGUGAAAGCUCUUAUUUUGUACAUGCAGUCCUGGAGUUUGAAGGUUAUUAUUAUUGCCUAUUACUUCACAUCGGUCUUUAAUUUAGUGUUUAUUCUUUUAUUCAAGUGAAUUUAAGACGGAUGAAUUAAUGAGUAGUUUGUGUCGGGCCUAAUAUGAAUUUUGAAAGGACCCGUUUUGCGUAUUUGAGAGUAAAGGGUUUUGACAAGUUAGCGGUUUGAUUUCUAUCUGGAGGAACAUGUGAUGGGUCUGUGGAGGAUUGUUUUCUGGGUGUCUGGUUUGGACCCUACCAUGUCAGACUGCAUUUACACACAAUACGCAUACAUUUGACUGCCACAUAAUCUGAAUUUUCAAAACGUAAACAAAUUGUACUGUUUAAAUAUUUCCGAUACGCUCCAUUUCCUGAUAGGGACCUCCACUACUAUUUAACAUUGUAUUAAAAAAAAAUGCUCAUUAAUUUCAUUGGACACUUUAGCAUAUGUUUAUAUGUACAGUAAGCACAUGUAAUAAUAUCUUUGCUUGUUAUCAAAUGUGAAUGAAUGUACAUAGGAGUUCUUUUAUUUUCUAAAAGUUGGAUUAAAGUGAAUAGUUGCCUGGGCUAAGAGGUGAAAUAAACAUUAAAAAAAAACAUUUUCAAUACUGUAAACAUGCUUUGAAAAAUAAAGUCUAUUUACCCGUA